GUACAUCAAAGCCAGACUGGUGUCAGAGAUGAAGAUGAUGGAACACAAGUAAUGAUCAUUCAUAUAUAAAACUAAUUAAAUUGACAACGACGAGGACCCCCUUCUGUGGUGGAGAUUAACUCACAAAGUCAACUUUCCCCGGCUCAGCAACAUGGCAAGAAAAUACUUGUGCAUGCAGGCCACCAGCUCUCCCUCAGGCAGUUCAACAUUGCAAACAUGGAUUCAAAGCUCCAUCAAGCCAACAGUUAAAAACAAAUUUGGAUUUACAAGAACUACAUCUCUUCAAGUCUUUGACGACACUGACACCAAUGUGGUGGAGGACGUCUUCCAAGAAUUGAUUCAAGCCAGUCCAGAUAUAUGUUUUACUGUAAGGCCUCCAGAAGAAACUCUUCCUACUUGGAGUCCUGCAAAAACUGUGACGUCAUCGAAUGAGACGAAGGUCCAUGGCUAUUUCAACUCGGAAGUUGAGAUGAAGGUAAUUCUUACAUUUACACAGCAAAAAAAUGUUUAAUCGUAACAAUAAGUUGUGUUUGGAACAUUAUAAUGUAUACGGUAGCAAUCUUAGGAUGGUAAAUAAAAGAAGUCAUUAAAAAUAACUUUGUUGCACCACAUAUGCAGUAGGCUAAUAGCAAAAUUAGCUUUAAUUCAUUCUGUCGCAAAUAAGGUAACAAAUCAUGCAAGAUUCAGGGAAAUGCAAGAUUUCAGUAGUGAUAUGUUACCUAUAUUACACUAGCUCGCAACUAUUAAGCCAAUUUCAGCCAACAUGAUCAGACGAAGAACAGUGUUGCCAGAUUGGUUUGUUUUCCAGCCCAGUAAUUAUUUAAAAUCCACACAAAAUUAUACAAUAAACGGUCAGAUAUGAUCUAUAAUAAAACAAUACAACUUAAUUCAUAACAGCACCUAUUGUGGCUCAUCAUGUUUUAAUAUGAAAUAAUUAAAGCCAAUUUUAGCCAACACGAUCAGUAUACAUUAUACAAGUUUAACUGUUUAAAAUCAAUGUCACAUAGAUUUGAGCUUAAUUUUCAAUUUUCCCACACAGAUGAAAAGAAUACUGAUGUAAAAUGUAUGUGCGCACACACACACACACACGCACACACUUACAUUUUACGUCUGUGUCUGUCUUGUUAAACUGUACUUGUCAGUCUUUCUGUAGUGCUCUCUGUCUUGAGUGUUUCUGUAGGUUUGUGUUUCUACUCAUCACCAUGUCCAUCCAUUCACAACUCCAAGAACCUCUCUUGAUCUUGGAUAAGUUGGUUGAUGGUCAAGAACUAAAGGAUGAGCUCCAAAGUCUUGAUGACUUUCUUGGUGAACUGCAAGAAAGGCAGUAGCACCAAUGAAGACACCUGAGCCGAGGGUGCAUUGGAGAUUGAUGGAAAUAUUGUCUAUGCAAGGUCAAGCAGGAAUCAACAAAAGAAAGCUGAUCACAUUCGGAACACUGAUCCUCCCAAUGCUCCUGACACUCAUUGUGAGGUGGCCUUUGCUCCAGAGACUGUUGGUGUGUACUUCAAUGUGUUUAAAUUACAGAAUAUGACAGUGGGUUAUAAUGUAAAUACGUAGUUUCUUUUCUUAAAUUUGAUAGAAUGCUGGACCUUUUACACUCAAAGCCAUUCCAUGAAGUACAAUUAAAUGCUGUAAAUAUAUGUACAUAAAGGGAAAUAUAAAAGUAUUGUUUUUGUAUACUCUAUACUAUUUUAACAGAGUGUAUUCACUGAACGAUUUCUCAAGUAACGACGCAUCACCUCCUGGAACCCCAAGAGAUCCUCUUCAGGCUUCCUCAAACUGGAGCACACACAAAUUCUCUUUUCAGAGAGGUGGAGGGCAGAGAGACCCUGUCUGCUGAACACGGCUGUGGCACAAGAAAAUGUGGCAGCACAUCUGCCAGAGUGUGGGAGAAGCCCAGCUGUUAUCCAGUGUUGUGACUGACGACCUCGUCCCUUCUUCUGUGCUGAAUGUGACAUCAUCAUGUCCUCCAUUAGCCUGGUUAGCCAGACCUACAUCAAGAUGUAAGGUCUGGCAACUCUUCACACAAACGGCUCAAUGCAAGGGGCGGGAUAUAAGGUUGUCCCUCAAAAUGUCUCUGCACGCAAUAGGAUAGCGCUAUGACCAAUCAGAGCAAACAACAAUCACAAGCGGAUUGUGGCUGAGUCCCAUGCGUUUCCCCACCAGUGGAGCUAAUUGGUAUAUCAAACUUUUACCGUAACCAGUCGGCAAAACUCCAAACACAUCUUUCUUGCUUAAAAAUGACUUCAGUAGGGUUAUUUGCUCUUCUCUCAAAGAAAAACAUAAGUCUAAGUCCUCCAGAGUUGCGGCCAAAGCCGCUUCAAAAGAAAGCUGUUCGCCAGCAGCAGCAGACAUUCUUUGUUUUCAAGUAGGAACCGUCGCAGGCAGCUCUGUCGUCAUCAUGUUAAGCCCGCCCCACAGACGCUACACACGAUGUGAUUGGCCUGACCA